rnacentral:lncRNA from 1 species
CACAGGUGUGGACGUCUCAGUGCUUGUGGUAGCAGUGUUGGUGGUAGUCAUGGGAGCAGAGGCACUGGUGCUGGUGGGAGCAGUGGUGCUGGUACUCGUGGUAGCAGUGGCGCUGGUGCUUGUGGGUGCAGUGGCACUGGUGCUCGUGGUAGCAGUGGUGCUGCUACUCAUGGGAGUAGUGGCGCUGGUGCUGGUGGGAGCAGUGGCGCUGGUGCUGGUGAGAGACGAGGCGCUGGUAGUCGUGGUAGCAGUGGCGCUGGUGCUUGUGGGUGCAGUGGCACUGGUGCUCGUGAGAGCAGUGGUGCUGGUGCUCAUUGGAGAAGUAGUUAUUGUACUCACAGGUGUGGACGUCUCAGUGCUUGUGGUAGCAGUGUUGGUGGUAGUCAUGGGAGCAGAGGCACUGGUGCUGGUGGGAGCAGUGGUGCUUACACUCGUGGUAGCAGUGGCGCUGGUGCUUGUGGGUGAAGUGGCACUGGUGCUCGUGGUAGCAGUGGUGGUGGUGCUCACGGAAGAAGUAGUUAUUGUACUCACAGGUGUGGACGUCCCAGUGCUUGUGGUAGCAGUGUUGGUGGUAGUCAUGGGAGCAGAGGCACUGGUGCUGGUUGGAGCAGUGGCGCUGGUACUCGUGGUAGCAGUGGCGCUGGUGCUCAUGGAAGCAGUGGCGCUGGUGCUGGUGGGAGCAGUGUUGCUUAUACUCGUGGCUCCGGACGUCUCAGUGCUUGUGGUAGCAGUAUUGGUGUUACUCACGGGAGCAGUGGCGCUAGUGCUCACAGCAGUAGUGGUGCUGGUGCUGGUGGGAGCAGUGGUGCUGGUGCUCGUGGUAGCAGUGGCGCUGGUGCUGGUGAGAGCAGAGGCGCUGGUAGUCGUGGUAGCAGUGGCGCUGGUGCUUGUGUGUGCAGUGGCACUGGUGCUCGUGAGAGCAGUGGUGCUGGUGCUCACGGGAGAAGUAGUUAUUGUACUCACAGGUGUGGACGUCUCAGUGCUUGUGGUA